UGCGUAGGGUGCAAGCGUUGUCCGGAAUUAUUGGGCGUAAAGAGCUCGUAGGCGGUUUGUUGCGUCGGCUGUGAAAUCCCGAGGCUCAACCUCGGGUCUGCAGUCGAUACGAGCAAACUAGAGUGUUGCAGGGGAGACUGGAAUUCCUGGUGUAGCGGUGAAAUGCGCAGAUAUCAGGAGGAACACCGGUGGCGAAGGCGGGUCUCUGGGCAGCAACUGACGCUGAGGAGCGAAAGCGUGGGGAGCAAACAGG
rnacentral:rRNA from 1 species